rnacentral:lncRNA from 1 species
AUCAAGCUAUUAGUACCUCUGAUGUUUCCUCACAGAAUGCCAUACAACCUGUCUUUGUACCUCCACUCCCACAAGACAGUCCAGCCUAUCUUCAGCCUUCAGCAGCAGCAGCACCACCAGUGGCAACACCGGUGGCAGCACCACUACCACUGCCACCUCCAUUGCCUCCUCCUCCUGCCACUCCUCUUGAAGCAGGAGAUGCUUCAGGGUUUCCUCUUCCACCACCGCCGCCGCCUUAUUCCUAUGAUCCAAGUGGAAGUGAUCUCCCCCAAGAUACAAAAGUUUUGCAGUACUAUUUCAAUCUGGGAUUGCAGUGCUAUCAUCACAACUAUUGGCAUUCCAUGGUCUAUAUGCCACAUGUGCAGCAGCAGCAGCAGCAG